rnacentral:rRNA from 1 species
GGUGAACGCUGGCGGUAGGCCUAACACAUGCAAGUCGAACGGCAGCACAGUAAGAGCUUGCUCUUACGGGUGGCGAGUGGCGGACGGGUGAGGAAUACAUCGGAAUCUACUUUUUCGUGGGGGAUAACGUAGGGAAACUUACGCUAAUACCGCAUACGACCUACGGGUGAAAGCAGGGGAUCUUCGGACCUUGCGCGAUUGAAUGAGCCGAUGUCGGAUUAGCUAGUUGGCGGGGUAAAGGCCCACCAAGGCGACGAUCCGUAGCUGGUCUGAGAGGAUGAUCAGCCACACUGGAACUGAGACACGGUCCAGACUCCUACGGGAGGCAGCAGUGGGAAUAUUGGACAAUGGGCGCAAGCCUGAUCCAGCCAUACCGCGUGGGUGAAGAAGGCCUUCGGGUUGUAAAGCCCUUUUGUUGGGAAAGAAAAGCAGCAGGUUAAUACCCCGCUGUUCUGACGGUACCCAAAGAAUAAGCACCGGCUAACUUCGUG